rnacentral:piRNA from 1 species
UGACCCAGAUGCAGCCGACGAGUUCC